AGAGGUUAUACAAAAUAUAUUUGUUUUUAGGUUAGUGUUCCUUUUGCAUCAUGAUUAGACGAAUUGACUAGUUAAGACUUUGUACCGAAAACCAAGGAUUUUAAUGUUUACUGAAAUGUGUUGUUCUGUGUUGGUCCGGGUAGGGCUUAGUAGAUAUGCGUUACGUUGUGACAAGUGAGUCGGCUUGGUUUAUAUCUGUUUAAUAGCUUUAAUUUUAUAGUACUUUACUGGCGAUGAGGUUAGUGGAGAUAAUAUACCCUGUUUUCCUUGAUAGUGUAAGAUAAGGUUAAAACUACCUUUUUUUAGUGAGUUUAUUACAAAUCUUUUAAUAAGGGAUGAUGAUGGGUUAUCUAAGGAGGCUGUUCUUUUAAGUUAAUAUUAUGUUUAAUGUAUAUGUUUAAAUAAGUAAUAGUUAAUACCCGUUGUAUUGUUUCUCAAAAGUUGCCCGUCUGUUUAUUAAAAACAUUUCCAUACCGAAUAAUGUAUGGUAGUGCCUGCUCUAUGUUAUAAUAAAUGGCCGCAGUAUCUUGACUGUGCGAAGGUAGCAUAAUUAAUUGCCUCAUAAUUGGGGGCUUGUUUGAAUGGUUUGACGCGGUAAUGGUUAAACAUUAUGGGUGUACUUGAAAUUACUUUAGAGGGCACAGAAGCCUCUGUAUUUAAUUAGACGGAAAGACCCCGGGAUCUUUGUAUUUUGCUUGGGGCAAGUCAGAGUGUUUCACUUUAAUUAAGACCCUUUUUGGUUUAGUGAGCUAAGUUACCCCGGGGAUAACAGUGUAAUAGUCUAUUAGAGACCUUAUCGAUUAGAUUGUUUGUUACCUCGAUGUUGACUUAGGUUAUAAUUUGUGCGCAGUAGCUCAAGUUUUAGGUCUGUUCGACCUUGUAACCUCCAUGAGUUGAGUUAAGACCGGCGUGAGCCAGGUCGGUUCUUAUCUAUUGUUGUGAUUUGCUAGUACGAAAGGAUCGCAGAUCGUUUUUUU
rnacentral:rRNA from 1 species